rnacentral:rRNA from 1 species
UACGGGGGGAGCAAGCGUUGUUCGGAUUUACUGGGCGUAAAGGGCGCGUAGGCGGUCGUGACAAGUCACUUGUGAAAUCUCCGGGCUUAACUCGGAACGGUCAAGUGAUACUGUCGGACUAGAGUACAGAAGGGGCAACUGGAAUUCUCGGUGUAGCGGUGAAAUGCGUAGAUAUCGGGAGGAACACCAGUGGCGAAGGCGACUACCUGGCCUGUUCUUGACGCUGAGGCGCGAAAGCUAGGGGAGCAAACGGGG